GACGAACGCUGGCGGCGUGCUUAACACAUGCAAGUCGAACGGUGAAAGCGGAGCUUGCUCCGCUGGAUCAGUGGCGAACGGGUGAGUAACACGUGGGCAACCUGCCCCUCACUUCGGGAUAACUCCGGGAAACCGGGGCUAAUACCGGAUAUGACCUCCUUGGGCAUCCUUGGAGGUGGAAAGUUUUCGGUGAGGGAUGGGCCCGCGGCCUAUCAGCUUGUUGGUGAGGUAGUGGCUCACCAAAGCGACGACGGGUAGCCGGCCUGAGAGGGCGACCGGCCACACUGGGACUGAGACACGGCCCAGACUCCUACGGGAGGCAGCAGUGGGGAAUAUUGCGCAAUGGGCGAAAGCCUGACGCAGCAACGCCGCGUGCGGGAUGACGGCCUUCGGGUUGUAAACCGCUUUCAGCAGGGAAGAAGCCGCAAGGUGACGGUACCUGCAGAAGAAGCACCGGCUAACUACGUGCCAGCCGCCGCGGUAA
rnacentral:rRNA from 1 species